rnacentral:misc_RNA from 2 species
CAACCCCUCAAGCCCAGCUUGGUGUUGGGGCACUGCGUCCCGCAGGCCCCCAAAUCCAGUGGCGGACGCGCCAGGUCCCCGAGCGCAGUAGUUUCUCCUCGCUCUGGGCGGCCGGCGCGGGCUUGCCUCGCCCCAUCACGCACAA